CAGCAGCCGCGGUAAUACGUAGGGUGCGAGCGUUAAUCGGAAUUACUGGGCGUAAAGCGUGCGCAGGCGGUUUUGUAAGACAGGCGUGAAAUCCCCGGGCUCAACCUGGGAAUGGCGCUUGUGACUGCAAAGCUAGAGUGCGGCAGAGGGGGAUGGAAUCCCGCGUGUAGCAGUGAAAUGCGUAGAUAUGCGGAGGAACACCGAUGGCGAAGGCAAUCCCCUGGGCCUGCACUGACGCUCAUGCACGAAAGCGUGGGGAGCAAACAGGAUUAGAUACCCGGGUAGUCCUUGUCUCUUAUAC
rnacentral:rRNA from 1 species